rnacentral:rRNA from 1 species
UGGGGAAUAUUGGACAAUGGGCGCAAGCCUGAUCCAGCAAUGCCGCGUGUGUGAAGAAGGCCUGCGGGUUGUAAAGCACUUUCAGUAGGGAGGAAGGCCUUAGUGCUAAUAGUACUAAGGAUUGACAUUACCUACAGAAGAAGCACCGGCUAACUCUGUGCCAGCAGCCGCGGUAAUACAGAGGGUGCGAGCGUUAAUCGGAAUUACUGGGCGUAAAGGGCGCGUAGGUGGUUAAUUAAGUCAGAUGUGAAAUCCCUGGGCUUAACCUAGGAAUUGCAUAUGAUACUGAUUAGCUAGAGUACAGAAGAGGGAAGUGGAAUUUCCGGUGUAGCGGUGAAAUGCGUAGAUAUCGGAAGGAACAUCAGUGGCGAAGGCGACUUCCUGGUCUGUUACUGACACUGAGGCGCGAAAGCGUGGGGAGCGAACAG